GGCGCUGGGCGGCGUCCCGGGGAGCGCGCGCGCCCCCCUCGAAGGCCUCGCCCGGGACCCGGCGGAAUCAAAGGGGCAUCUUCACUUCCGCGGGCCGGGGCUGCCGCUCGCCCCGCCGCCGGCCUUGGAGGGCGUUACGGGGCGCCCCUUCCGCGGGCAGCGGAUGGCAGCCCAGCGCCUUUGCGGGCACCGCCUGGACAGCCUGCGCGGAGGUCUUUCUUUUAGUCCUCUGGGAAUAAUGUGAUGCUAGACAUGCUGGACUGAGAAAGGAAAAAAAAAGCAAAACACAAAAGCAAAAAAAAAAAAAAAAAAAAACCCAUUUGGGUCAAUGAAGGAGCGUCAGGCCGCAGCGACGGGGGAGGGGAGCGACUUAAGCAAAGUCCGCUGCCUCAAAAAUGCACGUUGGUCUGUGGGAGGUGCAGGUGAGAAGCCAGAACCCAGGCGGAGAAGGGACCCCUUGCGCGUGUCACCUAAGGUUUGGCAAGCCUUGACUACGGUUACUUCUGAGUCACGCCGGUGUCCGUGUCUCAACAGCCAUCAGAACCUGGGACGGCUGCUCCGAGGCAGGAGUUUCCUAUACAACCUGUGCAGAGACAUCCCACGUGGCCCCGGUCUUGCUGAGCAACUGUCGGGUCUCCCGGUGGCCCACGGGGAAGCAGGACCAAGCUUUCGGAGCCAACCACACAUCCCAUCCAGCUCCACAUUGUGAUGUCACCUUGGAGCCUGAAUCGAGCCAUGGUGGGAAGGACGGACGCCAUGAAAACCGGCCAACACUACAAAGCGGGACUGUUUUCCUCAGGGAGAGCCAGUGGCUAAACAUUUGCCAGCACAUCCCUGCCUAAGCUCCAGCUGGGGAAGAGGCAGCCUUCUGCGAUGCGGGAGGUCACAGAGUGAGUCCCGAGUGGUGAGCAGGGCCGAAGGCCCUUCUGCCAAUUUCCCUGUGGGCUGGAAAUGAAAACACCACCACCCAUGGAGUCUAGCUCAUCUUCCUUCUCAUCUCGAGGCCACAGGCACUCAGCAUCACCUGCCUUCAGGGGACUUCCCAGUCCCUGUGGAGUGGGAAGCCGCUCUGGACACGAGCAGAGGUGAGAUUCAGAGGUCGUGAUCUCUCAGUUUGUGGGACUGAGCUCCGUGUCGAGCUCCGUGCUGACAGUGCGGAGCCUGCUUGGAAUUCUCGCUCUCAAAAUAAACAUUUACAAAAAGAAAAACAGGCAGCAGAAAGAUACGGAAAAUGAAACAAGCUUUAGCACAAGUAAAAGAAAAGGCACUCAAAUGCACACUGAAGGUGAAAAUGGAAUAGAAAUUCAAAUCCUCAACCCUUAAUUUCUUUGAUUUAAAUCUGCUAGCACUUGAGGGAGAAGGCACUUACUUUUCAAACUUUGCUAACACGUCAGCUACGAUGGUUCGGCUUUCAAUGGCUUUAUCCACAUUUCCGUUGUACUCAAACAAGGCGAACAUGUUCCUGCUGUCCUCCAUGGCGAGGCCUCUGAUCAGCUUCUCCACCACCUGCAAGAUAUACCCCGAGGGCUUCGGCUGCCAGCACGCGGUUCUAGAAUGUGCCUUCCCCUGAACCCCAAGGGAGCUGCCGGCAAGCGAGGGUCCAAGCAGCCCCCCUACAACUGUCCUGUGUGGUCACCCAGAAUUUCAAAGGUGCCGUUUUUCCAUUACUCUCUAGAGACCAGAUUUGUCUUAUCCUUGUAAAAAAAAAAAGAACACGGGGUAUGUAUUUCACCCACUGGUAAAGAUGGAUGGCGGGCGGAUUUCUUGCAGACCCAUCCUGGUAGGAAAGUGCAUGAAAACCGAAGCCCUUUCAUCUGAUACAUCCAUCGACUGCCAAGAAACAAGGGUUUCCACCGUGUUUCUUCUUUCCACGCCAGAAGCUUCUCUGGGUUUUAUUGCCCUACUUCUUUUAGCCAACUGGUUUUACAAUACUAAAUUUUAAAAAAGAAAGAAA